UACGUAUGGUGCAAGCGUUAUCCGGAUUUACUGGGUGUAAAGGGAGCGCAGGCGGCGCGUUAAGCCUGGUGUGAAAGCCCGCGGCCCAACCGCGGGACUGCAUUGGGAACUGGCGCGCUGGAGUGCCGGAGGGGUAGGCGGAAUUCCUAGUGUAGCGGUGAAAUGCGUAGAUAUUAGGAGGAACACCAGUGGCGAAGGCGGCUUACUGGACCAUGACUGACGUUGAGGCUCGAAAGCGUGGGGAGCGAACAGG
rnacentral:rRNA from 1 species